rnacentral:rRNA from 1 species
UGGGGAAUAUUGGGCAAUGGGCGAAAGCCUGACCCAGCAACGCCGCGUGAAGGAAGAAGGCUUUCGGGUUGUAAACUUCUUUUCUCAGGGACGAACAGAUGACGGUACCUGAGGAAUAAGCCACGGCUAACUACGUGCCAGCAGCCGCGGUAAUACGUAGGUGGCAAGCGUUAUCCGGAUUUACUGGGUGUAAAGGGCGUGUAGGCGGGAAAGCAAGUCAGAUGUGAAAACCAUGGGCUCAACCUGUGGCCUGCAUUUGAAACUGUUUUUCUUGAGUACUGGAGAGGCAGACGGAAUUCCUAGUGUAGCGGUGAAAUGCGUAGAUAUUAGGAGGAACACCAGUGGCGAAGGCGGUCUGCUGGACAGCAACUGACGCUGAGGCGCGAAAGCGUGGGGAGCAAACAGGAUUAGAUACCC